rnacentral:snRNA from 1 species
AUCACUUCUCGGCCUUUUGGCUAAGAUCAAGUGUAGUAUCUGUUCUCAUCAGUUUAGUAUCUGAUAUGUCCUCUAUCUGAGGACAAUAUAUUAAAUAGAUUUUUGGAGCAGGGAGAUGCAAUAGGAGCUUGCUCCGUCCACUCCAUGCAUCGACCUGGUAUUGCAGUACCUCCAGGAACGGUGCACUCGCU